GGGGGUUCUACUGCUGAUCUUCAUAACAGGACUGCGUAUUAAAUACACCAUUGAAAUAAGCCAGGAAAGAGAUGAACUACUGCACAACUACAACAACACUCGUUAUCAUCCACAAAAAGAUGAGGUACCAUGUCCCAGAGGAUGGACAUUUCAUGACAAAUGUUAUCUCAUCUCGUCUAUUUCGAAAAAUUGGUCUGAGGCUAGACAAGUCUGCCAAGCCAUGGGAGCAGAUCUGGUGACCAUCGAGAGUGAGGAAGAACAAGUUUAUAUCAAUUCACUGGUGACUAGAUGGGGUUGGAUUGGACUACACAGAUGUGGCAUGAGCUGGUCGUGGGUGAAUGGUAGACCACUCUCCACAGGGCCUGUGUUCUGGGAACCCGGACAGCCCAUCAGCAAAACGAAGCACUGUGCUAUAACAAGCCCAAAUGUGGAGAACCCCACCUCCAGCUGGCAUGACUAUCUAUGCUCCUCUACCUUUUACCCCAUUUGUGAAAAAUCAGCUAACUAAUUCGGCUAAUUCAAGAAGAAAUUGCUGUCCCAUAUUGACAAGAUAAUGAAUGUUGAUUUAAAAGAAAUUAAAAGUCAU